rnacentral:rRNA from 1 species
UACAGAGGUCCCAAGCGUUGUUCGGAUUCACUGGGCGUAAAGGGUGCGUAGGCGGUUUGAUAAGUCUGAUGUGAAAUCCCGCAGCUUAACUGCGGAACUGCAUUGGAAACUGUUUGACUAGAGGAAUGGAGGGGAGACUGGAAUACUUGGUGUAGCAGUGAAAUGCGUAGAUAUCGGGAGGAACACCUGUGGCGAAAGCGGCGCACUGGACCAUAACUGACGCUGAGGCGCGAAAGCUAGGGGAGCAAACAGG